rnacentral:tRNA from 1 species
GGAGGCGAUCGGGUACCUGGUGGUCUCCGCGGCCUUCAAAGCCGUUGGCACCCAAUGCGGGUGCGGGGUUCGAUUCCCUUCGCCUCCG